rnacentral:rRNA from 1 species
CAACCUACCUAUCAGAGGGGAAUAACCCGGCGAAAGUCGGACUAAUACCGCAUAAAACAGGGGCACCGCAUGGUGAUAUUUGUUAAAGAAAUUCGCUGAUAGAUGGGCAUGCGCUCCAUUAGGUAGUUGGUGAGGUAACGGCUCACCAAGCCGACGAUGGAUAGGGGAACUGAGAGGUUGGUCCCCCACACUGGUACUGAGACACGGACCAGACUCCUACGGGAGGCAGCAGUGAGGAAUAUUGGUCAAUGGGCGGGAGCCUGAACCAGCCAAGUCGCGUGAAGGAAGAAGGAUCUAUGGUUCGUAAACUUCUUUUGCAGGGGAAUAAAGUGCAGGACGUGUCCUGUUUUGUAUGUACCCUGGGAAUAAGGAUCGGCUAACUCCGUGCCAGCAGCCGCGGUAAUACGGAGGAUCCGAGCGUUAUCCGGAUUUAUUGGGUUUAAAGGGUGCGUAGGUGGUUUGAUAAGUCAGCGGUGAAAGUUUGCAGCUUAACUGUAAAAAUGCCGUUGAAACUGUCGGACUUGAGUGUAAAUGAGGUAGGCGGAAUGCGUGGUGUAGCGGUGAAAUGCAUAGAUAUCACGAAGAACUCCGAUUG